UUUGUAUAAUUAGCAUAUAUGUAUUACAAGAGGAACAACUCAAAAGUGAUAAGGUGUGCCUUGAGUG
ensembl:ncRNA W10C8.7 ncRNA